rnacentral:rRNA from 1 species
GAACGACGCUGGCGGCAGGCUUAACACAUGCAAGUCGAACGGGCGUAGCAAUACGUCAGUGGCAGACGGGUGAGUAACACGUGGGAACCUUCCUAGGGGUACGGAACAACUCAGGGAAACUUGAGCUAAUACCGUAUACGUCCGUGAGGAGAAAGAUUUAUCGCCCUUAGACGGGCCCGCGUCGGAUUAGCUAGUUGGUGGGGUAACGGCCUACCAAGGCGACGAUCCGUAGCUGAUCUGAGAGUAUGAUCAGCCACACUGGGACUGAGACACGGCCCAGACUCCUACGGGAGGCAGCAGUGGGGAAUCUUGGACAAUGGGCGCAAGCCUGAUCCAGCCACGCCGCGUGAGUGAAGAAGGCCUUCGGGUUGUAAAGCUCUUUUGUCAGGGACGAUAAUGACGGUACCUGAAGAAUAAGCCCCGGCAAACUUCGUG